GAUGAACGCUGGCGGCGUGCCUAAUACAUGCAAGUCGAGCGAACAGACGAGGAGCUUGCUCCUCUGACGUUAGCGGCGGACGGGUGAGUAACACGUGGAUAACCUACCUAUAAGACUGGGAUAACUUCGGGAAACCGGAGCUAAUACCGGAUAAUAUAUUGAACCGCAUGGUUCAAUAGUGAAAGACGGUUUUGCUGUCACUUAUAGAUGGAUCCGCGCCGCAUUAGCUAGUUGGUAAGGUAACGGCUUACCAAGGCAACGAUGCGUAGCCGACCUGAGAGGGUGAUCGGCCACACUGGAACUGAGACACGGUCCAGACUCCUACGGGAGGCAGCAGUAGGGAAUCUUCCGCAAUGGGCGAAAGCCUGACAGAGCAACGCCGCGUGAGUGAUGAAGGUCUUCGAAUCGUAAAACUCUGUUAUUAGGGAAGAACAAAUGUGUAAGUAACUAUGCACGUCUUGACGGUACCUAAUCAGAAAGCCACGGCUAACUACGUG
rnacentral:rRNA from 1 species